rnacentral:rRNA from 1 species
UACGUAGGUGGCAAGCGUUGUCCGGAUUUACUGGGCGUAAAGAGCGCGCAGGCGGUCGUUCAAGUCGCGUGUGAAAGCCCCCGGCUCAACUGGGGAGGGUCACGCGACACUGAUCGACUCGAAGGCAGGAGAGGGAAGUGGAAUUCCCGGUGUAGUGGUGAAAUGCGUAGAUAUCGGGAGGAACACCAGUGGCGAAGGCGACUUCCUGGCCUGUUCUUGACGCUGAGGCGCGAAAGCUAGGGGAGCAAACGGG